rnacentral:tRNA from 1 species
GCCCACCUAGCUCAGUCGGUAGAGCACACCCUUGGUAAGGGUGAGGUCGCUGGUUCGAUUCCAGUGGUGGGCA